GCCUCAUAGAGCCUAUAGCCUGUGAGGGUUUUCCAAGCUCAGUCCUUAAGUUCCUCUGCACAAACACCACUGGGCAGCUCCCUGGAGAAGGGGAAACAAAUGGCUUGCUCUCCUGUGACUUUGCCCCCAGGUGAUGAGGAGCUGGUGCGGGAGGUGCUGUUUGACGCAGUGGUGACUGCCCCCAUGGAAGCCUACUGGACAGCGCUGGCUCUCAAUAUCUCUGAUGAGUCAGAGCAAGGGGUGGACCUGGCAUUCCUGGNNNNNNNNNNNNNAUUCCUGGGCACCCGAGCUGGCCUCCUUCGAAGCAGCUUGUUCGUGGGCUCCGAGAAGGUGUCUGACAGAAGGUGCAGGUGAGCCAGUGGCAGUAACAGCGAGCACAGCAGUAGCCGUGACAGUAGAGGAGAAGAAGACAGCCAUUGCUGCAGGUAGGAGUCACCCUCUGUGCCACUGGAGCCAGGAAGCUGUGGGCCCAUGGCAAGAAUAAGGCCCACGGUCAUAGCAGGAGGGCCCCUGCGUGUGACGUGCUGGGCACCAGUCUCCAGCUGUAAGUUGUCCCAGGUGAACUCUGGGGAGAAGGAAAAUGAAAUCUUCCUAAGCCAUUUUGUUUGUGAAACCUUAGAGCUCAAAGAAUUUGUGAAAUGAGUAAAAGGAAGCCCACAGAGGCUAAGAAAUCAUCCCAUGUCACAUAGGCCAUGGACUGCAACCCAGACCCUCUUCCUCCCCUUACCUGUAGCUGCCCUCUUUCACGGCCUUGGGUUCAAGAACUGGACUUGUGACUCAAACCCCUAAAGCAAGACCUCCAUGUGUGUAUUCAAUCUGAACUUGUCCUCCGGGUGACCCAAAGCAGGUGAUGGUAUUGGGCUCCAUUUUACAGGUGAAAAAACUGAGACGCAGAAAAGUUACUGGCCCCAAAUUCCACAGCUAAUAAUGAACCUAGGGUUAGAACUCAGACUGUAUCUCUUUCAAGCCCAAGUUCACUAUCUUUUACUGCAGGUUGCCCCAGGUCAUGGGAUGAGCUAUCCAAUGACCCUCACAAGUCUCCCCUGACUUUGUAGCUUCUUCAUGCCUAAAAAGUC
rnacentral:lncRNA from 1 species